rnacentral:rRNA from 1 species
GACAGAGGGUGCAAGCGUUGUCCGGAAUUAUUGGGCGUAAAGAGCUCGUAGGCGGUUUGUCACGUCGGAUGUGAAACCCUGAGGCUCAACCUCAGGCCUGCAUUCGAUACGGGCAGACUAGAAUUCGGCAGGGGAGACUGGAAUUCCUGGUGUAGCGGUGAAAUGCGCAGAUAUCAGGAGGAACACCGGUGGCGAAGGCGGCCCUCUGGACGGUGACUGACGCUGAGACGCGAAAGCGUGGGGAGCAAACAGG